UGAAGUAGUUAUAGGUAGAAACUCCAUACAGUUGGGAAGAGAGAGCAAUUCCAUUUAUGGAAAGUUGUUUAUAGUCACUGAUGAGUGUGUGAGCAAGUUGCCGAAGUUGGAAAGAAGGUCACUGUGAAUUCAAGGAGCUGAUGGGACCAGGCACCAGAGCAGCAUUGAAGUAUUGUUUUAAAUAGCCAAGAAUUGGAGCAGGGGCAGUACUGGAAAAAUGGACUGAUGCAGAAGGUAUUUGUGGGGAAAUAGGAGGAAUGAUACCAGGAAUCUGUAGACCAUGGUGAAAAUGAAGGUGCAUUGGUUAUAAAAUGUUGUGAGGUGAGAUUUACAUUGGAGAUUUUAGGUAGGAGGGAAGCCAUAUGGAGUUAGGAGCAAGGAGGACUCCCCACUUACACGUCCAGUGGGAGAAGGGAUGGUAGGGGGAAAAACACACUUGGGAGGGCUACAAAGUCCCAGUGUCCCCAGAAUAAAUCAGUUAAUGAUUGGAAACAUGCAAAUGGAAGCAACUUGCAGUGAUAGUUUAUAUCCACUCAGGAUGCAGACGUAACAUGUGGGCCUUCCAAGGCAGGUUACUGUGAAACUAAUUCAUCCCUUCUUCAUUAGGACCAUGCUAAUUUGGUAGAGCCUUUUAAAAGUCAACAUGGGGUCCUGUACGAACUCUCCCGCCGCCCCCCCCCCCCCCAGGAAAAUGCUUGCUGGGGUUUGUCUGUUUUCACGUCUGGUGUGGCUGGAUGUAACAAGAUGCAGUUUCUUGGAGGAAAUCGGAGGAAACUGAGGUUGGCAGAUGACCAGAGGAAUGCUUGCUACCCACAUAGCCUUCUGUUUUACUUGCAGCCGCCUUCUGGAAACAUAUCUUUGAUAGAAUUUGAAAACUUGGCUAUCGAUAGAGUUAAAUUGCGGAAAGCAGUUAAGAGUCUUGGUGUGAGCUAUGUGAAAGGAACCGAGCAGUACCAGAGAAAGCUGGAGGCUGAGCUUCGGAAGCUUAAGUUUUCCUACAGAGAAAACUUGGAAGAUGAAUAUGAGCCCCGAAGAAGAGAUCACGUUUCUCACUUUAUUUUACACCUUGCUUACUGCCAGUCUGAAGAGCUUAGGCGCUGGUUCAUUCAACAAGAAAUGAAUCUCCUUCUAUUUCGAUUCAGUAUUUUACCCAAGGACAAAAUUCAGAGUUUCUUAAAGGAUAGCCAUUUGCAGUUUGAGGCUAUAAGUGAUGAAGAGAAGACUCUCCGAGAACAGGAUAUUGUGGCUUCAUCACACCGUUUAGGUGGGGUUCAGUUGGAGUCAGUUUAUGAGGGCCCUUUUGCUGAUGCUCUGGAUUUGUUCUGAGGAAGGAAAGUCUAUUUGGAAAAUGGCUUUGCUUAUGUACAACUCAAAGACAUUGCGGCGAUCAUCCUGAAUGAAUUUAAAACCAAACUGUCCAAGGUUUUGGCUUUAACAGCCAGGUCCUUGCCUGCUGUGCAGUCAGGUGAGAGACUCCAGCCACUGCUCAGCCACCUCAGUCAUUCGUACACUGGUCAAGACUACAGUACACAGGCAAAUGUUGGGAAGGUUUCUUUAGAUCAGAUCGAUUCGCUUUCUACCAAAUCCUUCCCACCUUGCAUAGAUCAGCUACAUAAAGCCCUAUGGGAAAAUCACCAUCUUCGUCAUGGGGGUCUCACGCAGUACGGCCUCUUCCUGAAGAACAUUGGCCUAACCUUGGAACAGGCGUGGCAGUUCUGGAAGCAGACAUUUAUCAGAGGAAAGAUGGAUCCAGAUAAAGCUGAUAAAGGCUACUCUUACAAUAUCCAUCAUACCUUUGGAAAGGAAGGCAAGAGGACAGACUACACACUUUACAGUUGCCUGAAGAUUAACCUGACCAAUCCACCAAGCCAAGGGGAUUAUCAUGGGUGCCCUUUCUGGCACAGUGAUCCUCAACUGCUGAGGCAGAAGAUGCAAGUGUACAAGAUCCCUCCCUCAGGGAUCAACCAGAUUUUGGAUUUAGUAAAAGGGACACAUUACCAGGUAGCCUGUCAGAAGUUCUUCAAGAUGACACAUAAUGUAGAUGAUUGUGGCUUUUCUUUGAGUCAUCCAAACCAGUUCUUUUUUGAGAGCCAGUGGAUCCUCAGUGGAGGUAAAGACAUCAAGAAGGAAUCCGUCCAACCAGAAACGCCCCAACCCAAACCAAGUGUCCAGAGAAGCAAGGAUGUGUCAUCUGCUCUGGUCUCACUCAACUCCUCUCUGGAAAUGGAUCUGGAGGGACUAGAGGAUUUACUUCAGUGAACAAUCCCUGGGCAGUUGGUAGCCUGUCUUCCUCACUAGCUUUUAUUUCCUACUUUACGAUUUUAUCUUUUUCUUUUUUGUCUGCCUUCUCCCUCCACCCGACCCCCCUUCAUCCAUCCACAUAUGCAUGAGCUUCUCGGGAAGGCAGCCUUGCAGGUAAAAACAAAGACCUCCGGUAUAUUUUGCUUUGACAAAAGAGAAGAAGAAGAAUUUCUUUUGAAAUCUAACGCUUGAAUAGUGUGAUUUAAGUCCCAUUUUAGGAGAUAAAACAGCUUUCUGGAUUGGUUACUGUCCCCUAGAAACAGUACAACUAAGAACAACUUUUAUUUGAAUGCUUAUCACUGUAAUGUUGACCCAGGACUUUUCUGGACCAUUUUUGUUAAUAAAUAUCAAAAUGUAAAAGAAAAAAAAAGUCAUUAUGAAAAGAGCAAUCGGGAAUGUACUAUGAUGCUACUAAUUCUACUGAGAGAUUUUAUUCAGACAUAUUUUUAAAGUGUUUUAUAUGCUCACGCUUAGCACCACUUUAUUCUCUAUAUGGGUAGCACUGUUAUACAGCCAUUACCAUGAUAGUCGAGAGGACUAAACUACGACAAACCAUGGGAUUGUUUAUUAGAGGAAGUUCAGUGAGUAUGGAAGAAUAUAAAAUCAUGUGUACCAUAAACAUGGAGCUAUGGAAAUAUUUGACAGUCAGGAGUGCUCAUCGUUAUGUCUGUGGGUGGCCAGGAUGCUUGGUGCAAACACUGCCUUUCCACUUCAUAGAUGUGUGACCUGUGGUCAAUCCCUUAACUUUGCUGGGUGCCUCAGUUUCCCCAUCUAUAAAAUGUUAAUAAUAGGGCCUGACUUGAUAAUUAAAUGAGUUAAUACAUAGGUAAUGCUCAACAAUACCUCAUGCUGACUGUAUAAAAUGGCAAUAUUAAGCAGGGAAAAUCUUUGUGUUAAGGUGAUAGAUUAUUAUUAACUUUACAUUUCUCCCAACUUGUUAUAUUGUCUUUUCUAGGAAAAAAAAAAAAAAAAAGGCAAAACAGCUCUUGGAAAAACUAAAGUGGUUUCAAUUAUAUUUUGGCUGUUCUUUCUGUUAAACCUUAGUAGCACCUGCCUAUGUUUCUUUGUUUUUGUAAAUUAAAGUUAGCUGAAAAUAGCAAUGAAUUAAGAGAGAAUGUUACCCUUUGCUUCUUUAAUGAAAAGGUAGAAGAGAGUUCUUCUUGACCAUUGCUUUCUUAAGGAGGGAAAUGGAAACGGUGUCUGAGGUGGCUUUUUUAAACAAAAUCACUAAGGGCAUUGAGCCUGUCAUUAAAGAAUGAAAAUUGGAUUCGGUCUUCUUGGAGACACUUGCUUUUGAAUCAUUUGGAAUGUGGCCUCUGGACUAAGGCUAUGCAAUUGAAACCAAAUAUUAUGAAGACAGGAUUUAUUGAUUUUGUUUUUAGAGACAUGAUAUGAGUUCAGUUUUUCAGGAGCUGUUGCAAGUGAGGUAUGAGAAAGUACAUGCGCUAGUCUCCUUAGAGGUGAAAAGGCGUCAGAAUUAACCCAACUCUGGACACUUCCUGGGUCUUAGCAUCUGAAGGAAGGGCUUUUGUUCCCUCCUGCCCCCCACCCCACCCCCAGGCCUCUAAGUCUGUAUGGUAGGCAGGCCCGGAUAAACACACUCACUCUCUAUUCCGGAAGGGGUCGUGGGGAGCUCUUUCAACAUAACCUCUCGUUUUCAGGAUUGUUCUUUCUUGGGUGGUGGCUGCGGCAGCUUUCAUUCUGUAUAAUAUGGCAACAUAAAACAAAACAGUCACCAGCAGGCCCAAAUGACCAGAAAUUGCUGAACAAAGCAGGCCGCAGCUCCAGAUGGAGAGUAAUGAAAAACAGACCGCAGUUCAUUCAGCCACUUAAACACCAGGACCCAGUAAGAGCUAUUGUACAAGUCACAGAGAUUUGCACUGCU